rnacentral:rRNA from 1 species
UACGUAGGGUGCAAGCGUUAAUCGGAAUUACUGGGCGUAAAGCGUGCGCAGGCGGUUGUGCAAGACAGAUGUGAAAUCCCCGGGCUCAACCUGGGAAUUGCAUUUGUGACUGCACGGCUAGAGUGUGUCAGGAGGGGGUAGUAUCACGUGUAGCAGUGAAAUGCGUAGAGAUGUGGAGGAAUACCGAUGGCGAAGGCAGCCCCCUGGGAUAACACUGACGCUCAUGCACGAAAGCGUGGGGAGCAAACAGG